AGUCUGUCAGAGGCGGGCUUUAUAGGCAAGAAACUGGAAGGGGAGGAGUCUGUCAGAGGCGGGCUUUAUAGGCAAGAAACUGGAAGGGGAGGAGUCUGUCAGAGGCGGGCUUUAUAGGUGAGAAACCAGAAGGGGAGGAGUCUGUCAGAGGUGAACAUUAUAGGUGAGAAACCAGAAGGGGAGGAGUCUGUCAGAGGCGGGCUUUAUAGGCAAGAAACUGGAAGGGGAGGAGUCUGUCACCCUC